AACGAACGUUGGCGGCGUGGAUGAGGCAUGCAAGUCGCGCGAGAAAGCACCUUCGGGUGUGAGUAGAGCGGCAAACGGGGUAGUAAGGCAUCGGAACGUACCUUCUCGUCUGGGAUAGCCACGGGAAACUGUGAGUAAUACCGGAUGAUAUCGAGAGAUCAAAGGUCCGCCGCGAGGGGAGCGGCCGAUGUGAUACCAGCUAGUUGGUGAGGUAAUGGCUCACCAAGGCUUAGACGUCUAGGGGGUGUGAGAGCAUGGCCCCCACCACUGGGACUGAGACACGGUCCAGACCUCCUACGGGAGGCAGCAGGUGGGGUAAUUUUGGACAAUGGGCGCAAGCCUGAUCCAGCCAUGCCGCGUGAGUGAAG
rnacentral:rRNA from 1 species